rnacentral:rRNA from 1 species
CGUGAGAUGUUGGGUUAAGUCCCGCAACGAGCGCAACCCCUAUUGUUAGUUGCUACGCAAGAGCACUCUAGCGAGACUGCGUUGACAAAACGGAGGAAGGUGGGGACGACGUCAAAUCAUCAUGCCCCUUAUGUCCUGGGCUACACACGUAAUACAAUGGCGGUCAACAGAGGGAUGCAAAACCGUAAGGCGGAGCGAACCCCUAAAAGCCGUCCCAGUUCAGAUCGUGGGCUGCAACCCGCCCACG